rnacentral:rRNA from 1 species
CCUACGGGAGGCAGCAGUGGGGAAUUUUGGACAAUGGACGAAAGUCUGAUCCAGCAAUGCCGCGUGCAGGACGAAGGCCUUCGGGUUGUAAACUGCUUUUGUACGGAACGAAAAAGUCUUUUUUAAUAAAGAAGGCUUAUGACGGUACCGUAAGAAUAAGCACCGGCUAACUACGUGCCAGCAGCCGCGGUAAUACGUAGGGUGCAAGCGUUAAUCGGAAUUACUGGGCGUAAAGCGUCCGCAGGCGGUUCUAUAAGACAGAUGUGAAAUCCCUGGGCUCAACCUAGGAACUGCAUUUGUGACUGUAGAGCUAGAGUACGGCAGAGGGGGAUGGAAUUCCGCGUGUAGCAGUGAAAUGCGUAGAUAUGCGGAGGAACACCGAUGGCGAAGGCAAUCCCCUGGGCCUGUACUGACGCUCAUGGACGAAAGCGUGGGGAGCAAACAGGAUUAGAUACCCUGGUAGUCCACGCCCUAAACGAUGUCAACUGGUUGUUGGGUCUUCAGUGACUCAGUAACGAAGCUAACGCGUGAAGUUGACCGCCUGGGGAGUACGGCCGCAAGGUUGAAACUUAAAUGAAUUGACGG